CCUUCACACGCAAAACUCAGCUUUUCCUCUUUCCUUGUUCACGUCAGAGUUGGACAGAGAAAAAGGGAGCCUCGUUCAGCUCUUCCCCUCCACGUUUCCAUCAUGCAAAGGGCAACUCCUCCAAGAACAUCAUCUCAGACCUUCAAAAGAGAGAACCCAGGCCAUAAAUCGUCAUUCACCCUUCUCUUCUCACCUUUCCUCUCGUCCCUGGACACAUCAGUCCGUUUACGAGCCUCGAAACACCUAGUUCGAGAUCUCCGAUCAGAAAACGUUCUUCAUCAAAGUUGUUCGCCUAUGUCUCCUCUAUCUAGCCUCCAAAUUUCAGCUCCAUCGGAAUUGAUUUGAGACCUGUACACCCAUCGAAGCGGAAGCUGUUCCGGAGCAAGCCUGUUCCGGAUUUCUGCUUAAACUUCCUCUCUUGCUCUACCCGAAUCCCCAACACCUUGCUUGAGACUGAUACCAACAGUUGUCUCUGUUUCACUUUGCAUGUUCGAGACUGAGCAAACUUCUUGGCCUGUGGCUGGACUCGAUCCAAUCAGCUCCUUCAGCUCUCUUUCCUGUUGAAAUCCUCAAGAGAAGCUCAUCUUUUUUUGUUAGUUUUUGGAUCUUGUGAAGUGGUGGUUGCUACAAGGUUGCAUUGAGGCCAAGUGCUGCAAGAGAAAGCUCGAGUUCCAGGAGAGGUCAGUUCCUCCUUGAGCCACCGGUGGUGGGCAGUGUGCACCAUGCCCUUGUUAUCUCCCCUUUGUCUCUAGCCUUGUGAUUAAUGAAUUCCGGAAAGUGAUUGGCUAGAUGGACGGUUGUGAUGGAAGUGUGAAAGAUGAUCAAUUGCCGUGGGAUUGUAGUUACGUGGUGACGAUCACGUGGAAGCGCAAACCGGUUUUAUCUACUUCUUUUAUUCAAAACAAUAACUCAUGUUUUUAAACUUAGAUA